rnacentral:rRNA from 1 species
GCAAGUCGAACGGCUUUUCUAUGGAAGCUUGCUUCCACUGAGAAGAUAGUGGCGAACGGGUGGAGUAACACGUGGGUAACCUGCCCAUAAGAGGGGGAGUAACAUCCGGAAACGGGUGCUAAUACCGCAUAGUUUUCUUGAUCGCAUGAUUGAGAAAGGAAAGACGGCCUUUGUGCUGUCGCUUAUGGAUGGACCCGCGGCGUAUUAGUUAGUUGGUGAGGUAAUGGCUCACCAAGACGAUGAUACGUAGCCGACCUGAGAGGGUGAUCGGCCACAUUGGGACUGAGACACGGCCCAAACUCCUACGGGAGGCAGCAGUAGGGAAUCUUCCGCAAUGGACGAAAGUCUGACGGAGCAACGCCGCGUGAGUGAAGAAAAGGUUUUCGGAUCGUAAAACUCUGUUGUCAGAGAAGAACAAGUUGGAGAGUAACUGCUCCAGCCUUGACGGUAUCUGACCAGAAAGCCACGGCUAACUACGUGCCAGCCGCAGC